ensembl:lncRNA
GUGCAGGAAGACUCUUAUCAGCUGAAAACUCCUCUUGGAGGACAGCGGACACGGAAGCGACAGAUUCACUGGCGACUGGACACUUGUUGGUUCCCUCUACUGCCUCCUCUGGCAGUUUGUAGUCAUUGUCAAAGACAGGUGGCAGACUUGGAGGCAGCAUUGGGACAGGGCAUUUAGCUGUUGAUCUGUCCACUCCAUCAACAGUAGCUGUGCCUGAAGUGUUCUCUGUAGCACCUGAGACCUCAUAGGCAUCCUCUACUGUCUGCUCUGUAGGCUUGAAGUCAUCGUCAAAGACUGGUGGCAGGCAUGGAGGCAGCACUGAAGGAAGACUUCUGGCUGCCCAUCGGUUCUCUCUCUUGACAGUGGCUGUGUCUGCAGUGGCAUCUUUGGCAACUCGGCACUCUGUGGCUGAAACAGCAGGCUGGGAGGUUCCUGGGACAAUUAAUGAAUUGCCAACGAACCGCUGAGCCAGUGGUGGGAGGGAGAAAGGAUAGAAUCUGUCCUCUUCCUUUAUAUUAGAUAUUGCCACUGGAGCAACUGAGAGCUCAGUGGUUCCCUCUACUGUCUGCUGUGGUGGAAUGGAGUCAUCGUUAAAGAAGUGUGGCAGGUAUCGAUGCAGCAUUGAGGAAAGAUGUGUAUCUGUCAAUAAGUCCUCUCUUUUACCAGUAGAUACAUCUGCUGUGGCCUCUGUGGCAACUGGGCACUCAGCAGGGACAAAGUAUGAAAAUACAAUGAACCGCUGUGCAUCCUGAGCGCGUAUGGCCAAUUGAGAGGGGGGACGUAACAUGGUUGGUAUAGGCCUCCGAUUGGUGAAAGCCAGCGGUGGGAGGGAGUCAAUACAGGGAGCCAUGAACUCAGUGAGUGGACGGUUGGUCACAUCUAUCACAUUCUGCGGGAGAAAAGAAACAGACAUGUUGAAAGUGAUCACAUUCACGACAUACAUACUUUAUGAGUCAACGCUAUUUACUUAUACAUCACAUACACAGUUUCUUCAGAAAGUAUUCAGACCCCUUCACUUUUUCCACAUUUUGUU